rnacentral:rRNA from 1 species
AUUGAACGCUGGCGGCAGGCCUAACACAUGCAAGUCGAGCGGCAGCACAAGUGAGUUUACUCAUGAGGUGGCGAGCGGCGGACGGGUGAGUAAUGCCUAGGGAUCUGCCCAGUCGAGGGGGAUAACAGUUGGAAACGACUGCUAAUACCGCAUACGCCCUACGGGGGAAAGAGGGGGACUUUCGGGCCUCUCGCGGUUGGAUGAACCUAGGUGGGAUUAGCUAGUUGGUGAGGUAAUGGCUCACCAAGGCGACGAUCCCUAGCUGUUCUGAGAGGAUGAUCAGCCACACUGGGACUGAGACACGGCCCAGACUCCUACGGGAGGCAGCAGUGGGGAAUAUUGCACAAUGGGGGAAACCCUGAUGCAGCCAUGCCGCGUGUGUGAAGAAGGCCUUCGGGUUGUAAAGCACUUUCAGUAGGGAGGAAAGGUUGUAAGUUAAUACCUUGCAGCUGUGACGUUACCUACAGAAGAAGGACCGGCUAACUCCGUGCCAGCCGCCGCCGUAACAC